GACGAACGCUGGCGGCGUGCUUAACACAUGCAAGUCGAACGGAAAGGCCCUGCUUGCAGGGUACUCGAGUGGCGAACGGGUGAGUAACACGUGGGUGAUCUGCCCUGCACUUCGGGAUAAGCCUGGGAAACUGGGUCUAAUACCGGAUAGGAGCCAUUUUUAGUGUGAUGGUUGGAAAGUUUUUUCGGUGUAGGAUGAGCUCGCGGCCUAUCAGCUUGUUGGUGGGGUAAUGGCCUACCAAGGCGGCGACGGGUAGCCGGCCUGAGAGGGUGGACGGCCACAUUGGGACUGAGAUACGGCCCAGACUCCUACGGGAGGCAGCAGUGGGGAAUAUUGCACAAUGGGCGCAAGCCUGAUGCAGCGACGCCGCGGGGAGGAUGACGGCCUUCGGGUUGUAAACUCCUUUCGCUAGGGACGAAGCUUUUUGUGACGGUACCUAGAUAAGAAGCACCGGCUAACUACGUG
rnacentral:rRNA from 1 species